CGGAAGAUGUAACGGGGCUAAACCAUGCACCGAAGCUGCGGCAGCGACACUAUGUGUUGUUGGGUAGGGGAGCGUUCUGUAAGCCGUUGAAGGUGUGCUGUGAGGCAUGCUGGAGGUAUCAGAAGUGCGAAUGCUGACAUAAGUAACGAUAAAGCGGGUGAAAAGCCCGCUCGCCGGAAGACCAAGGGUUCCUGUCCAACGUUAAUCGGGGCAGGGUGAGUCGACCCCUAAGGCGAGGCCGAAAGGCGUAGUCGAUGGGAAACAGGUUAAUAUUCCUGUACUUGGUGUUACUGCGAAGGGGGGGCGGAGAAGGCUAUGUCAGCCGGGCGACGGUUGUCCCGGUUUAAGCAUGUAGGCGGAGGUUCCAGGUAAAUCCGGUACCUUUUAACGCUGAGGUGUGAUGACGAGGCACUACGGUGCUGAAGUGAUAAAUGCCCUGCUUCCAGGAAAAGCCUCUAAGCAUCAGGUAACACGAAAUCGUACCCCAAACCGACACAGGUGGUCAGGUAGAGAAUACCAAGGCGCUUGAGAGAACUCGGGUGAAGGAACUAGGCAAAAUGGUGCCGUAACUUCGGGAGAAGGCACGCUGAUGUGUAGGUGAAGCCCCUGCGGGCGGAGCUGAAAUCAGUCGAAGAUACCAGCUGGCUGCAACUGUUUAUUAAAAACACAGCACUGUGCAAACACGAAAGUGGACGUAUACGGUGUGACGCCUGCCCGGUGCCGGAAGGUUAAUUGAUGGGGUUAGCUGUAAGGCGAAGCUCUUGAUCGAAGCCCCGGUAAACGGCGGCCGUAACUAUAACGGUCCUAAGGUAGCGAAAUUCCUUGUCGGGUAAGUUCCGACCUGCACGAAUGGCGUAAUGAUGGCCAGGCUGUCUCCACCCGAGACUCAGUGAAAUUGAACUCGCUGUGAAGAUGCAGUGUACCCGCGGCAAGACGGAAAGACCCCGUGAACCUUUACUAUAGCUUGACACUGAACACUGGUCCUUGAUGUGUAGGAUAGGUGGGAGGCUUUGAAGCGUGGACGCCAGUCUGCGUGGAGCCAACCUUGAAAUACCACCCUUUAAUGGCUGGUGUUCUAACGUAGACCCGUAAUCCGGGUUGCGGACAGUGUCUGGUGGGUAGUUUGACUGGGGCGGUCUCCUCCCAAAGAGUAACGGAGGAGCACGAAGGUUGGCUAAUCCUGGUCGGACAUCAGGAGGUUAGUGCAAUGGCAUAAGCCAGCUUGACUGCGAGCGUGACGGCGCGAGCAGGUGCGAAAGCAGGUCAUAGUGAUCCGGUGGUUCUGAAUGGAAGGGCCAUCGCUCAACGGAUAAAAGGUACUCCGGGGAUAACAGGCUGAUACCGCCCAAGAGUUCAUAUCGACGGCGGUGUUUGGCACCUCGAUGUCGGCUCAUCACAUCCUGGGGCUGAAGUAGGUCCCAAGGGUAUGGCUGUUCGCCAUUUAAAGUGGUACGCGAGCUGGGUUUAGAACGUCGUGAGACAGUUCGGUCCCUAUCUGCCGUGGGCGCUGGAGAAUUGAGGGGGGCUGCUCCUAGUACGAGAGGACCGGAGUGGACGCAUCACUGGUGUUCGGGUUGUCAUGCCAAUGGCACUGCCCGGUAGCUAAAUGCGGAAGAGAUAAGUGCUGAAAGCAUCUAAGCACGAAACUUGCCCCGAGAUGAGUUCUCCCUGAGACUUUAAGUCUCCUGAAGGAACGUUGAAGACGACGACGUUGAUAGGUCGGGUGUGUAAGCGCAGCGAUGCGUUGAGCUAACCGAUACUAAUGAACCGUGAGGCUUAACC
rnacentral:rRNA from 1 species